UUAUCUCUGUAGAGUCUGCAUAUCAAUAAGCGGAGGAAAAGAAACUAACUAGGAUUCCCUCAGUAACGGCGAGUGAAGCGGGAAGAGCUCAAAUUUGAAAUCUUAAAGGGUUCUACCUUGACGAAUUGUAGUUUAAAGAAGUGUUUUCUGUUGGAGGUUUUGGUAAAAGUUCUUUGGAAUAGGACAUCAUAGAGGGUGAGAAUCCCGUAUUUGACCAUUACUUUCAGCGUUGUGAUACACUUUCAAAGAGUCGGAUUGUUUGGGAAUGCAGUCCAAAAUGGGUGGUAAAUUUCAUCUAAAGCUAAAUAUUGGCGAGAGACCGAUAGCGAACAAGUACCGUGAGGGAAAGAUGAAAAGAACUUUGAAAAGAGAGUUAAACAGUACGUGAAAUUGUCAAAAGGGAAGCGUUUGACACCAGUGUUGUUUUCUCGAAAAUCAAUUAAAAAAAGUUGGAUUUUGUAUUGUUAAGACCUUAUCAGCUUACUGUACUCUUUUCUUGCUUUUUUUAAUGCACUUUUCGUUUAACAAGUCAACAUCAAUUUCUUUUGUUGUAAAAGAGUCAUUAGGAAGGUGGCUUUCACUUCGGUGAAAGUGUUUAUAGCCUUUGGCUUCUGCAAUCGGAGAGAUUGAGGUCUGCAGCGUAGAUCCUUCGGGGCUAGAUACGUAGAUGCUAAGUUAUAGCUUUUUAUAGACAACUUGUUGACUAUGAUUAAGUCAUGUAGCUUACUCGUUAUGCCUAUUUUACCUACGCUUAGGAUGUUGACGAUCAGCUGAGCGCG
rnacentral:rRNA from 1 species